rnacentral:rRNA from 1 species
AGAGUUUGAUCCUGGCUCAGGAUGAACGCUGGCGGUAUGCUUAACACGUGCAAGUCGGACGGGAAGUGGUGUUUCCAGUGGCAGACGGGUGAGUAACGCGUAAGAACCUGCCCUUGGGAGGGGAACAAUAGCUGGAAAUGACUGCUAAUACCCCAUAGGCUGAGGAGAAAAAGGGGGAAUCUGCCCAAGGAGGGGCUCGCGUCUGAUUAGUUAGUUGGUGAGGCAAUGGCUUACCAAGGCGACGAUCAGUAGCUGGUCUGAGAGGAUGGUCAACCACGCUGGGACUGAGACAUGGCCCAGACUCCUACGGGAGGAAGCAGUGGGGAAUUUUCUGCAAUGGACGACAGCCUGAUGGAGCAAUGCCGCGUGAAGGCAAAAGGCCCACGAGUCAUGAACUUCUUUUCUCGGAGAAGAAAAAUGACGGUCUCUGAGGAAUAAGCAUCAGCUAAAUCUGUGCCAGCAGCCGCGGUAAU